UGCCGGGUCGUCUAACAGCAGGACGGCGGUCUCUGAAACCGCAGAUGCACGUGCGAGUCGUGCCCCGACAGCCA
rnacentral:tRNA from 1 species